rnacentral:lncRNA from 1 species
UAAUUGUGAGUCAAUAGUGACUUGCUGGGUGCGGUGGCGACUCCCAUGGCGGAUGGCUGGGUCGAGAGCACAUCUUUAUUUUCUCUCUAGAUCAUUCUUCUUCCUAUUUUGAUUUGAGAAAGGGAACGUGAGAAUUAGGGCAACCAGAGUGUUUUCCCAGUAAGUGUUGAGGCAGGCGUUUGCAAGGAGCAGUAUUGGAAGCGUUUCCGGAGUUUUCCAGUGUGUUCGGGUUUCACCUGCAUGUCAGGGUUCGUCACCGUCACAGGAACCCUGGGUCAUUUUUGCCAACUCAGUAGAACGGGGCUAAAAUUAUGUCUUAGGGCCGAUAUCCCCUUUUGAAAUUACAUCGUUAGGAUUUCUGCCAUCUUUGGAACC